rnacentral:siRNA from 1 species
CCACCCCAUUUAGGUCCGUCCCA